rnacentral:lncRNA from 1 species
GUGAAUGUGGGGCUAUACAUAAAAUGAUUGCCAUCCAUGUGCCACCCCAAGGGUGAGUGGAAUAUAGAAAUAUGGUCAUUAGGUCAACUGCCAUCCAUGUGCCACCCCAAGGGUGACUGGGGUCUAGAAAUGUGGUCACUUGGUCUUCAAUUGACCAGCACUAAAACCCUGCUUGCCUAGGUGAAUGUGGGUCUAGAUAUUUAAACGAAAUGAGACAACAACCCAUCAAAGAUGUAAAAUAAAAAGGUUCCCGCAUAGCAAACAGUGUCAUAAUAGGGGGUUUGAAUGGGCUUUUAAGAAUAGAAUAAAGAAUAUUCAUUAGCAUUAAAGGGCCCUUUGAAUAAAGAGUAGAGG